GACGAACGCUGGCGGCGUGCCUAAUACAUGCAAGUCGAGCGGACUUUCAAGAAGCUUGCUUUUUGAAAGUUAGCGGCGGACGGGUGAGUAACACGUGGGCAACCUGCCUGCAAGACGGGGAUAACUCCGGGAAACCGGGGCUAAUACCGGAUAAUAUCUUCCUUCGCAUGAAGGAAGGUUGAAAGGCGGCGCAAGCUGCCGCUUGCAGAUGGGCCCGCGGCGCAUUAGCUAGUUGGUGAGGUAACGGCUCACCAAGGCGACGAUGCGUAGCCGACCUGAGAGGGUGAUCGGCCACACUGGGACUGAGACACGGCCCAGACUCCUACGGGAGGCAGCAGUAGGGAAUCUUCCGCAAUGGACGAAAGUCUGACGGAGCAACGCCGCGUGAGCGAAGAAGGUCUUCAGAUCGUAAAGCUCUGUUGUCAGGGAAGAACAAGUACCGUUCGAACAGGGCGGUACCUUGACGGUACCUGACCAGAAAGCCACGGCUAACUACGUG
rnacentral:rRNA from 1 species